AGUGAACGCUGGCGGUAGGUCUAACACAUGCAAGUCGAACGGCAGCACAGUAAGAGCUUGCUCUUACGGGUGGCGAGUGGCGGACGGGUGAGGAAUACAUCGGAAUCUACUUUUUCGUGGGGGAUAACGUAGGGAAACUUACGCUAAUACCGCAUACGACCUACGGGUGAAAGCAGGGGAUCUUCGGACCUUGCGCGAUUGAAUGAGCCGAUGUCGGAUUAGCUAGUUGGCGGGGUAAAGGCCCACCAAGGCGACGAUCCGCAGCUGGUCUGAGAGGAUGAUCAGCCACACUGGAACUGAGACACGGUCCAGACUCCUACGGGAGGCAGCAGUGGGGAAUAUUGGACAAAGGGCGCAAGCCUGAUCCAGCCAUACCGCGUGGGUGAAGAAGGCCUUCGGGUUGUAAAGCCCUUUUGUUGGGAAAGAAAAGCAGCAGGUUAAUACCCCGCUGUUCUGACGGUACCCAAAGAAUAAGCACCGGCUAACUUCGUG
rnacentral:rRNA from 1 species